CGAAGUAAAAGUCGUAACAAGGUUUCCGUAGGUGAACCUGCGGAAGGAUCAUUAACACCUGUUCCAAAAACCUUCCCGGAGGGGGGGUGGUGCCUUUUGAUUGUCAUGAUCGAAAGAAACCCUUCCCCUCCACCAAACCAAACUUGUACGAACCUAUGACCCCUUAUUAUUUUUCUUCUUUCAAAAACCCUUUCUGAUCAAAUUUGUCUAAAUCAAAAGCCAAAACAAUAGUUGUAAGAUACAACUCUUAACAACGGAUAUCUUGGCUCUC
rnacentral:misc_RNA from 1 species